CGUGAUUUGAUAUAAAUACCACGAUUGGAAGUGCCUCCGUUCUUCUGCACCUCUCUAGCACCUUAAUGUGCCAGCCGUGUCCAAAGCGAGCCAUCUGCUUAAGGCAAGGUCUCUGCUCCCAAGGCCAGGUUUCUGUUCUUUUCUGUUAUCAGCUAUCCCAAUAAGCCAAAUUCUGUGAAUUCUGGACCAGAAGCCAGUAUUAUCAUUUUGUCUACAUGAAGCACACAGUGCUUUGAGAUUUAGAGCAACUUUGUGAUUUAAAAUAACUUGGCAUGUUUAGUGAAAACAUAAAAUCUGGAAAAAAAAUAGUACUCACACUUUUUCACAAAGACUGUAUAUACAGUUUAGUGAAGUACCAACAUGUUUCAGUUCCCAACAGAUCACAUCGAGAGGGGCAUUACAAGUGUUUUGUAGCUUCCUUGCUCUGUUGUGUGCAUACUUGCACUGUGUAGGGUUUGGGCAGCAUGGCUGACUGAAGUAUGCAAAAUUACACAAAGUGUCAUUUUCUGGUACAAGUACAUGACUUCAGGAGUUUGCAUUAUUGAAAGGAGGAUCCAAGAGACCCACACGCAGUUAAGAAAAAUACCUCUUCCAUAUGAAAACAAAACCAAGAUCCCAUAAUGGAGCAGGGGUAAGAACCACUGAAGGAGACAAAGCAGGUACUUUUACUAGAUACUGAUAAAACAGCCCCAUCAACUGGUAGAGAAGGCCUGGGGAGCACAGUGGCACCAGGUUUGCACCAGAGGCGCGCACGUUCCUAACAAAGACUGCCGGGUAGGAGGGCUGAGCGCUCGGCACCUGGGAAGCGACAGGUCUAUGUAAGGCCACGACAACAUUUCUGAAACUAUCUGAAGCUGCAGAGUCCACACCCAGGCCCGUUAUGAAUCUGAUGGUAUCACACGGUGAUUCUGCAGGCCGCGGAACCAGUCGGCCUUUUCUCACAGCUGGACAAAACUCAGGAAAGUCUGCUAGUCAGGAAAAAAGGGAAGAGAAAGGAAAUGAAGCGCCUCCGCAGAGGCCUGGGAUGCACCGCUCAGUAUUUGGGAAUACAAACCAAGCAGAACACACAGCAUAAGUGCUGGUUGCAGGCAUCUGACAUACGUAGACAUAUGGGACUCACGUGUGACUCACGUUGACUGAAGACAAGGAGUUAUAUCAAGGAGAAAAAAACAUUCCUGGGAUCUAUUGCAGAGGUGGGGAAAUCUCAUUCUAAUGUUAUUACAGACACUCGGUAGUCACAAAUAAAGACCUUCUUCAUUCUCUGCA
rnacentral:lncRNA from 1 species